UGGCAAUUUAAUUGAGAUGAUAUAUACUGUGAGGUACAUUUUAGAUACGAAUGGUAUUAGAUUUCGAACAAGAUCAUCGAAGAAACUCAACCAACCAGGAAAUUUAGACAUAAUCUAUGCUCUGUAAAUUCAAAUAUUCUCUAAUAUGAAACUAUUUUUAUGUGUUUUGUUAUUCCUAGCUAAUUUAGACAUAAUCUAUGCUCUAUAAAGUCAGAUAUUCUCUAAUAUGAAACUAUUUUUAUGUGUUUUGUUAUUCCUAGCUUUUACGGACUUGGUAACGUUGUUAUGGAAGUAUGACAACUAUCAUGUCCGUGCAAUUUUUAUUGUAUAUUUUGUUAUGUCAUGAUAUUGAAGCUCAGUUUUCUGACUCC
rnacentral:lncRNA from 1 species